UGUUUUUUCUAAUCUUUUCAACUUCCAAAUCAAAAAAGUUGGGGUUCUACCAAGAGAUUAAAAAACCCUAGAUGAAAAGAGGCGUACCAACUCCUUCCUCUCCAGUAACAAAAACACUAUUUUCCACCAUUAAAGAGCCUUCUUACUCAAUUGAAAACCAAUAGCUUUUCUCCAUGAAAGUUGUUCUCAAACUCCAGUUCCAAAACACCCCAAACUUCAACUACAAAACUCCAUUAAACUCCUAUAAAAAUCAGCGAAAAUCAGCUCCCAAAACCCCCUUUUACACCAAUAGUGGGAGAUAAGUGGUUGUGAGGAAAGCUGGGUUGAACUUAGGAGGGAGGAAAGCGAAAGCAGAGAAGAUGUUUGGGUUAAUGGAUGAGUUCUUGAAGAAUGAUGCAGUUAGUUUACAAAAAGAUAUUCUUGAUCAUGUUGAAUUUACUGUUGCUCGAUCAAGAUUCAAUUUUGAUGAUUUUGAAGCUUAUCAGGUACUCCCAUUUCCCGAUUUAUUUGACAUUUGUUCAAAGGUGUAAAAAUUGCACAACAUACUCAUUUUUGGCAUUUGGGUCUCGUUUAACUGCAUCAUCCCUUAUUCUUGAUUUGAUUAUUUGUUGGAAUAGAGUCAUGUUUCACUUACUGCUAGAAUUAUACCCUUAUUAAGAAGAAAAUCUUCAUGUCUACAGUAGAGCUACAGUAGAAGAAAAUUCAGUGACUUUUUUCGAGACCCUGUAUUUGUAAUUAGAACCCAUACACUUAUAAUCCUAACUCCGCCUCUGUUGGCAUUAGUAUACCACCAGAGACUACUCGUCAAUUGUGUGUUCAAUCCUCUGUUGUGAAUGAUUUUCUCUCCACAAAGCCAUUUGGAGAGCAUAUCUUAGAUCAUUUUACUGUUUUACCUCAACACGAAGUCAAAUGAGGUUGUGGCCAAGUGACAUCAAACACAUCACCAAAGCCUUUCCAUUGCUUAGGGUUUUGGACUUUGACUCCGGUCAUCUAGUAAUUUUCUCCAAAGAGUUUUUCCAGUUAUUUCUAUUGAGAUAUAUUGCUAUCUCAGGUGACAUCUCAGGUGACUUCAAGGUUAUUCCUGUACCCUUAGGUAAAUUCUUAUAUUUACAAACUCUUAUACUUAAUACAUCAAAUUCCACCCUUGAGAUAAAAGCAAAUAUAUGGAAGUUGUUGCGGUUGAGGCAUCUUCACACCAACGUCCCUGCAGAAUUGCCGCCACCUCCUAUCCCAACAGGUGAAGCCUUCUUGCCUACAAACUCUUUCUCUGAUUACACCGAAAAGUUGCACGAAAGAUAUCUUUGCAAAAGCUUGUAAUCUUAAAAAGAUGGGUAUACGAGGGAAUAUGGAGACUUUCGUUGAAUCUAGCAAGGGUGGAUGGCAAAAUCUUGAAGAGCUUAAGUGCCUGGAACAUUUGAUAAUAUAAAAUGAUAGUUUUUACUCGCGUAAACUUUAUCUUCCUCCAUCAUUCUUCAAGUUUCUAUGCACACUGAAGAAGUUAACUCUGUCUAAGACAAUGUUUGAUUGGAGCGAGGCGGAUAUAUUGGGGCGGUUGGAAUGCCUUGAGGUCCUGAAAUUGAAAGAAAAUGCAUUAGAGAGGAUGUACUGGAAGGUGAAACGAGGUGGUUUUAAUAAACUCCAGGUCUUAAGGAUUGAAGGGGCAGACUUGGAAAAUUGGGAGGCUUCUAAAUAUCAGACACCUUGUUCUUAAAUUUUGUGAAAAUCUUGAAGCAGUGCCAUAUGAGCUGGCUGAUGUACCUAGCCUUGAAGAGAUGAAGCUGGAGAACACAAGAAAAGCAGCCAAAUCAGCGAGAGAAAUAGAGCGCAAGAAACUCAUGAAAAGCAUCAAAUUCAAGCUCACGUUAUCGCCCCCUGAUACUGAAUAGAUGGUCACAUCCAGUUGAAAGGAGAGAUCAAGGUAUGCUGAUGCUGGGAGCUAGGAUCAUGGACAAAUAGAAUACUCUUUGAUAUUGUUGAAAGACAUGUUAUUCCUUUUCUUCUUCUUUUUUCUUGCUUUGAAAUAAAAGUCAUUCCAACUAGAUAAACUACUACAAGUCUUGUUUGUUUCUCAUUAUUUUGAAUGGACGGUUUCACUCAAGUC